rnacentral:rRNA from 1 species
GACAGAGGAUGCAAGCGUUAUCCGGAAUGAUUGGGCGUAAAGCGUCUGUAGGUGGCUUUUUAAGUCCGCCGUCAAAUCCCAGGGCUCAACCCUGGACAGGCGGUGGAAACUACCAAGCUGGAGUACGGUAGGGGCAGAGGGAAUUCCCGGUGUAGCGGUGAAAUGCGCAGAUAUCGGGAGGAACACCGGUGGCGAAGGCGGUUCUCUGGGCCUUACCUGACGCUGAGGAGCGAAGCGUGGGGAGCGAACAGG